rnacentral:lncRNA from 1 species
GCCUUAUCAUGUUCGCAACCAUGAUGGAAGCUCGAAUAGGGGAUCACAAUCACGAUUCCUCUAUUCCAGCUCCCUCUCUCUCUUUUGUUCAAUUUGAGAUGAAGCCGGCUGGGUUUGCCAACUUUGGUAUGAAGCGGCUCAUUUGAGCUGGAUUUCACAUUCUCCUCUCCUUAAAAAUAAGUUCGUCCUCGAAAUGUGAAAAAUCCAGAUCUUUCAAAGAUAAAGAUGAUUAAGGU